CUUAGGGAAGAGUAUAGGAGCAGGGCAUCCUGUUCCACUGGAUGAAGACACACCCUUCCAUGGAUUGGUGCUUUAGAAACUUGUGGAGCCAAAGUAUGCACCCAGACUCUGUGGUGAGUUGAAAUCAAAGGACAUGAUCUCUGUGAGUUUUUCUAGUCCUUUCUUGACCUCAGUUGUGCUCCUGCCCACCCCACUAUUCAAUGGCAAGAAGUUCCACACUGUAAUUUUGUGUCAUUGAUUAACCCCAGCUGCAGUGGAUACCGGAGGCUCAAGUUUCCUCAUCUCAGAGGCUUUCAAGAUCCUCAGCUUUGCUGGUCGCUUGUGUGUGUUGAGAUGGAGUGAGUGGGUAACCACGAAGACACUGAGUUUUCACAUACAGCAAGAGCAGCUGAGAUCCAGGAGGAAAGCAAUCAUGUGGCCAAAUGCAGGACAGCUGGUGGGAAUGAAGAUGAGUGAAAUAGAAAUUCCCAGAACUGCAGGGAAAGCAGAAGUCAAACAGGGACAAAUCUUCAAAUUCUUUGCCUUAAAGCUCCAGUGGAGGCAAUGGAAAGUUUCAAAUACAAAAGGAUUCAGACACAUGGGGAUUCAGUGCCUGGUUUUGUAUAGGUCCUGCUGUGCCAAGUUACUAUGACUGCUGGCUGCCCUGCACAAGGUGGGAUGAAGGGAUUUGCUCGCCCCUUCCUGGUGGGCUCAGCAACACCUUAUGCCCAGCCCCUCAUGGAGAUAUCGGCCGCCUUGGGUCACAUCACCUGGAACACCUUGGCAGUGUGCACAAGGAACCCAAAACAUCAUGUGGAGUGGGUAAUAUUCAAAUUUACAGCAUGUGCCUGGGGAAGGCGGCAUCUCUGAGCUGCCCUGCUCUCCCCUGGGUGUCAUGGGUUUUUGAGAGAUUUGGUGGCUUCCCUCACAGCUGCCCACAGGGCGGGCAGAGGGGGAGAGCCCAGGGUCCUACCUGGGCUGGUUCUGAAGGAGGGAGGGGUCUUGGGACCUUUAGACCAACGGAGCAAAGUCACCCACGUGUGAAACUGGGGAAGCCAAGCAAGAGCCCCUCUGCUGUGGAGUGGGGAAUGUCUUGCUCAGCAGUGAUUUGCCCACUGGGGAAUGGAAAACUCUCAUUAUUUAUAUAUUUUGGUCAGUGGAAGAGAGGGUCACACCCACCCAUCUCAUUAGUAUAAGAAAGCAUUGACAACACCAUAAUCCCCAGCUUCCCUUCUCCCAUGCUUCUCUAGCACACCUGAUCCUGUGCCAGGGGGUUUAAUAGGUUACCCUGCAAAACCUGGGACCAUGGUGCCAUGCAAGGUUGCAUAUUCCCAGGAAGUGCUUGUGCACAGAGCCGUAACAGAUGUGGACUAAGGAGGGAUGGCCCUGGCCAGCAGUGGUGAGAGGUGUUAAUAUCGCUGGGGAAGGUGAAAACAUAAUUGAAACCGUUUAUUUUGGGGGCUGUGCAGGGCUGAAUGAGGCGAUACCUUCUGAGCAAAAAAUACUUGUAAUUCGCCUGUCCUGAUCUUACAGACUUUUAAUUUGCUCUACAAAUUUGGCUUGUUGGAGAAUGUGUAAACACCCAGAACUGUACAGGGCAACCCAUUAAACAUUAACUUACU